CAGAAAUCAACAUUCACACAAUCCUAUUCCUGCUCUGAGUCACCUUAUUAUGCUGGAAACUCAAGUCAUGCACAUUACAAAGAAGAAAAAUUUUCCAACCUCUUUUUCACGAUUGCUGUGGUUUGAAUGAUGGCGUGCCCUCCAAAUUUAUGCUGAAACCUAAUCCCUAAUGUAAUAAUAGUAAGAGGUGUGGCCUUUGAGAGGUGAUUAGGAGACUUUGCCCUCAUGAAUGAGAUUAGCACCCUUGUGAAAAGGCUUAGGGUUAAAGGAAGUGCUCUCUUGCCCUUCUAUUCCUUCUACCACGUGAGGAAACAGUGUUCUUCCCCUCUGGAGCCUGCAGCAACAAGGCGACAUCUUGGAAGCAGAGAACAGCCCUCACCAGACAUCAAUUCUUGUUCCUCUUAAUCCAGCUGCACUCAGGACACAUUUCCAUGUAAGCAAUUCUAGUACAUUGUCCAGAAAUAUCCAGAAGUAAGGCACCUAAAUAUUCCAGCUUCCAAUAAUUUAUCCGAAUUUUUCUUCUGAUGGUGAGUAUUCAGAAUGUCCCAGUUUCGUAUUUGUAGUUUUUAAAUUCUUUUUUUUUUUUUGGUAAUAGAUUAUUUAUUUAUUUUGUAUUAUACUGUAAGUUCUGGGAUACAUGUGUAGAGCAUAUAGAUAUACACAUGCCAUGGUGGUUUGCUGCACCCACCAACUUGUCCUCUACAUUAGGUGUUUUUUCUAAUGCUACCCCUCUUGUAGCCCCCAGCCCUCCAACAGGCCCCAAAGUGUGAUGCUCUCUUCCCUGUGUCUAUGUGUUCUCAUUGUUCAACUCCCACUUAUGAGUGAGAACAUGCAGUAUUUGGUUUUCUGUUCCUGUGUUAUUUACCUGAGAAUGAUUGUUUUCAGCUUCAUCCAUGUUCCCAAAAAGGAAAUGAACUCAUCCUUUUUUAUGGCUGCAUAGUAUUCCAUGGCAUAUUUGUGCCACAUUUUCUUUAUCCAGUCAAUCAUUGAUGGGCAUUUGGGUUGGUUCCAAGUCUUUGCUAUUGUGAGCAAUGCUGCAAGAAACAUAUGUGUGCAUGUGUCUUUAUAGUAGAAUAAUUUAUAAACCUUUGGGUGUAUACCCAGUAAUGGGAUUGCUAGGGUCAAAUGGUAUAUCUAUUUCUAGAUCAUUGAGGGAUCGCCACACUGUCUUCUACAAUGGUUGAACUAAUUUACACUUUCACUAACAGUGUAAAAGCGUUCUUAUUUCUCCACAUCAUCUCUAGCAUCUGUUGUUUCCUGACUUUUUAAUGAUCUUCAUCCUAAGUGGUGUGAGGUGGUAUCUCACUGUGGUUUUGAUUUGCAUUUCUCUAAUGACCAGUGAUGAUGAGCUUUUUUUCAUGUUUGUUGGCUGCAUAAAUAUCUUCUUUUGAGAAGUGUGUGUUUAUAUCCUUUGCUCACUUUUUGAUGGGGUUGUUUUAUUCAUGUAAAUUUGUUUAAGUUCAUUGUAGAUUCUGGAUAUUAGCCCUUUGUCAGACGGGUAGAUUGAAAACAUUUUCUCCUCUUCUGUACAUUGCCUGUUCACUCUGAUGAUAGUUUCUUUUUCUAUGCAAAAGCUCUUUAGUUUAAUUAGAUUCUGUUUGUCAAUUUUGGCUUUUAUUACCAUUGCUUUGAGUGUUUUAGUCAUGAAGUCUUUGCCCGUGCCUAUGUCAUGAAUGGUAUUGCCUAGGUUUUCUUCCAGCGUUUUUAUGGUUUUAGGUCUUAUAUUUAAUGCAUUUUGAGUUAAUUUUAGUAUAAGGUAUAAGGAAGGGGUCCAGUUUCAGCUUUCUGCAUAUGGUUAGCCAGUUUUCCCAACACCAUUUAUUAAAUGGAGAAUCCUUUUAUCAUUUUUCCAUUUGCUUCAUAAAUAUUCCUCCACCUCUUUAUUUUGAGCACAUGUGUGUCUUUGCAUGUGAGAUGGAUCUCCUGAGUACAGCACACCAAUGGGUCUUGACUCUUUAGCCCAUUUGCCAGUCUAUGUCUUUUAACUGGGGAAUUGAGCCUGUUUACAUUUAAGGUUAACAUUUUCAUAUGUGAAUUUGAUCCUGUCAUUAUGAUGCUAGCUGGUUAUUUUGCCUAUUAGUUGAUGCAUUUUCAUCAUCGAUCAUCUUAAGAAUUUGGUUUGUUUUUGCAGUGGCUAGUAACAGUUUUUCUUUCCAUAUUUAGUACUUCCUUAAGGAGCUCUUGUAAAGCAGGCCUGGUAGUGACAAAAUCUCUCAGAAUUCACUUGUCCAUAAAGGGUUUUAUUUGUUCUUUACUUAUAAAGCUUAGAUUGGCUGAAUAUGAAAUUCUGGGUUGAAAAUUGUUUUCUUUAAGAACGUUGAAUAUUGGCCCCCUCUCUUCUGGCUUGUAGAAUUUUUGCAGAGAGAUCCCCGGUUAGUCUGAUGGGCUUCCCUUUGUGAGUAACCUGACUUUUCUCUCUGGCUGCCCUUAACAUUUUUUGUUUUUGCAUUUCAAUCUUGGUGAAUCUGUCAAUUAUGUGCCUUGGGGUUGCUCUUCUUGAGGAGUAUGUUUGUGGUGUUCUCUGUAUUUCCUGAAUUUAAAUGUUGUCCUGUCUUGCUAAGUUGGGGAAGUUCUCCUGGAUAAUAUCCUGAAGUUGGUUUUCCAACUUGGUUGCAUUCUCCCUUUCACUUUCAGGUAUACCCAUCAUAUGUAGGUUUGAUCUUUUCAUAUAUUUCCAUAUUUUCUGGUAGCUUUUUUCAUUCUUUUUCUUUAAUCUUGUCUUCAUGCUUUAUUUCAUUAAGUUGAUAUUCAAUUUCUGAUAUCCAUUUUUCCACUCACUCUCUUUGGUUAUUGAUACUUGUGUGUGCUUCAUGAGUUCUCAUGUUGUGUCUUUCAGCUUCAUGAGGUUAUUUAUGUUCUUAUCCAAACUGGUUAUUCAAGUUAGCAAUUCCUCUAACCUUUUUCAAGGUGCUUAGCUUCCUUGCAUUGGUUUAGAGCAUGCUCCUUUAGCUCGGAGGAGUUUGUUAUUACUCACCUUCUGAGGCCUACUUCUGUCAAUUCAUCAGACUCCUUCUCCAUCCA
ensembl:lncRNA